rnacentral:rRNA from 1 species
AGUGAACGCUGGCGGUAGGCCUAACACAUGCAAGUCGAACGGCAGCACAGUAAGAGCCUGCUCUUACGGGUGGCGAGUGGCGGACGGGUGAGGAAUACAUCGGAAUCUACUUUUUCGUGGGGGAUAACGUAGGGAAACUUACGCUAAUACCGCAUACGACCUACAGGUGAAAGCAGGGGAUCUUCGGACCUUGCGCGAUUCAAUGAGCCGAUGUCGGAUUAGCUAGUUGGCGGGGUAAAGGCCCACCAAGGCGACGAUCCGUAGCUGGUCUGAGAGGAUGAUCAGCCACACUGGAACUGAGACACGGUCCAGACUCCUACGGGAGGCAGCAGUGGGGAAUAUUGGACAAUGGGCGCAAGCCUGAUCCAGCCAUACCGCGUGGGUGAAGAAGGCCUUCGGGUUGUAAAGCCCUUUUGUUGGGAAAGAAAAGCAGCAGGUUAAUACCCCGCUGUUCUGACGGUACCCAAAGAAUAAGCACCGGCUAACUUCGUG